UCCUUCCGAUCCUGUUCACUGUAGUGUUGUGCAUGAUGUGCAUCUAAUUUCCAUUGGACAAGUAGACUUUUAACUUGUAGGGUGCAAGGCUUUGGGUCAGUUUUAUUUGAACUUCUACACUGACACCGUUCUGUAAUAAUCUGCGGAUUAACAUGUCAUGAUAAUCGCGGUCAAUAUCGAAAGUCUGUGUGUUGAAACAACCUGGAGUAAUCUAGAGUUUAUGGAUCUUUUCUAUGAUUGUAGGACUCCAAAUGCCAGUGUCUGGACUUUCCUCACGCAAUGAACUGCACUGGACAGGUCAUUGAACACGGACUACGCAAACUAAACUUGGUUUGCGAUGUUUCUGACACAGGGACAUACAAAAUAUGUCGAAUCCUUGAAAGACUACGGAAACUAGAAAACACCGACCAAGCACUGUGUGGGAGCCUGUCUCCGAACCACAUUUUGAAUUACAUCAGAAGAGUGUACCAAAGAUCUAACAGUAUUGAAACUGCAAUGAGGAAAACUCAAGGGUAAUCAGAAAUCAGGAAAAAUCGAAUUAUUUACUACUGAAACUUUAUUUCUUUCUUUAUUUAAUUAUGUAGGCGUAGAUAAGCAUUUGGGUUAACAGCCAACGUUUCACAGUGGUACAACUACUUAAGGAGGUCAUUUCCUAGUUCUAGACCAUGUUUGUGAUUUCCAGUCAGUCCAUAUGUACAGUAUUAUGUGUUCAAUCAGGAAGCAAACCUUUAUAUAUAUAUAUAUAUAUAUUCAUUUUGCUCUGUGUUCAGGAGGCUGUGAAUUUCAGUAUUUGUUCUCGUUUGAAAUUAGAGCAGACAUUACGAUAUAAUAUUAUACGCACACAUAUUUCUGUUACAAAUCUAAUCAUUAUAAUAUUUUUGAUACCUUAUUAUCUUAUUGAUUGUAUUGAUUGCAUGAUCAUUGCUGUAUUUUGUAUUACGUAUUAAAUUGUUUUCUUAAAACUUUACCCAACCAAUCAUGUUUCUGUUAUGUGGUUAAAAACAAAUUAGUCAUAAUCAGUCACUGGUCUGUAAUUGUUUCUUCACAUUUAUGACAGCGAG